rnacentral:rRNA from 1 species
CUCCGGGGGGCGGCAGUAAGGAGUAUUGGUGAACAGAGGGGACUAUUAACCACCCACUACGCGGGAAGGAGGACGGCGCUCUGGGGGGUAAAAAUCUUUUUUUUGGGAAGAAAAGUUUGCAUUUAUGAGAAUGUGACGGUGCCAGAAGAAUAAGCACCUCCUAAUUCCGUGCCACCAGCCGCGGUGAUACGGAGGGGGCAAGCGUUUUCUUCAAUCACUGGGGGUUAAAAGGGGGUAGGCGGCGUUUUAAGUCAGGAGGGAAAUUCCACAGCUUAACUGUAGGGAAUGCUUUUGAUACUGUAGUGUUAGAACCGAGAUGAGGUAGGCGGAAUGUGACAUGUAGCGGUGAAAUGCAUAGAUAUGUCAUAGAACACCAAUUGCGAAGGCAGCUUGCUAGACCUAGUUUGGCCGUGGAGCCAGAAAAGGUGGGGAACAAACCAGAUUAAAAUCCCUGGUAAUUCCCCCCCUAAAAGAUGGUAACUUGACGUUUGGGAUUAAAUUUUGAGCGUCCAAGCGAAAGCGAUAAGUUGCCUCCUGAGACUGCGCCUUUGU